rnacentral:rRNA from 1 species
AAUCAACGCUGGCGGCGUGCCUAACACAUGCAAGUCGAACGCGAGAGGGGCUUCGGCCCCGAUUGAGUGGCGAACGGGUGAGUAACGCGUGGGUGACCUACCUUCGAGUGGGGGAUAACGUCCCGAAAGGGACGCUAAUACCGCAUAACAUCCUGCUUUUGAAUGGGUGGAGAUCAAAGCCGGGGAUCGCAAGACCUGGCGCUUGAUGAGGGGCCCGCGUCUGAUUAGCUAGUGGUGAGGUAACGGCCCACCAAGGCAACGAUCAGUAUCCGGCCUGAGAGGGCGGACGGACACACUGGGACUGAGACACGGCCCAGACUCCUACGGGAGGCAGCAGUGGGGAAUUGUCCGCAAUGGGCGCAAGCCUGACGACGCAACGCCGCGUGGAGGAUGAAGGUCUUCGGAUUGUAAACUCCUGUUGCCCGGG